rnacentral:rRNA from 1 species
UACGUAGGGGGCAAGCGUUGUCCGGAAUCAUUGGGCGUAAAGAGCGUGUAGGCGGCCCGAUAAGUCCGCUGUGAAAGUCCAGGGCUCAACCCUGGAAUGCCGGUGGAUACUGUCGGGCUCGAAUCCGGAAGAGGUGAGUGGAAUUCCUGGUGUAGCGGUGAAAUGCGCAGAUAUCAGGAGGAACACCGAUUGCGAAGGCAGCUCGCUGGGACGUAACUGACGCUGAGACGCGAAAGCGUGGGGAGCAAACAGG